UACGAAGGGGGCUAGCGUUGCUCGGAAUUACUGGGCGUAAAGCGCACGUAGGCGGCUUCUUAAGUCGGUGGUGAAAUCCUGGAGCUCAACUCCAGAACUGCCUUCGAUACUGGGAAGCUCGAGUCCGGGAGAGGUGAGUGGAACUGCGAGUGUAGAGGUGAAAUUCGUAGAUAUUCGCAAGAACACCGGUGGCGAAGGCGGGUCUCUGGGCCGAUACUGACGCUGAGGAGCGAAAGCGUGGGGAGCGAACAGG
rnacentral:rRNA from 1 species